AGAGUUUGAUCAUGGCUCAGGACGAACGCUGGCGGCGUGCCUAACACAUGCAAGUCGAGCGAUGAAACCCUUCGGGGUGGAUUAGCGGCGGACGGGUGAGUAACACGUGGGUAACCUGCCUCAAAGAGGGGGAUAGCCUCCCGAAAGGGAGAUUAAUACCGCAUAACAUUAGUUUUUCGCAUGAAGAACUAAUUAAAGGAGUAAUCCGCUUUGAGAUGGACCCGCGGCGCAUUAGCUAGUUGGUGAGGUAAAGGCUCACCAAGGCGACGAUGCGUAGCCGACCUGAGAGGGUGAUCGGCCACAUUGGAACUGAGACACGGUCCAGACUCCUACGGGAGGCAGCAGUGGGGAAUAUUGCACAAUGGGCGAAAGCCUGAUGCAGCAACGCCGCGUGAGUGAUGAAGGCCUUCGGGUUGUAAAGCUCUGUCUUUGGGGACGAUAAUGACGGUACCCAAGGAGGAAGCCACGGCUAACUACGUGCCAGCAGCCGCGGUAAUACGUAGGUGGCAAGCGUUGUCCGGAUUUACUGGGCGUAAAGGAUGCGCAGGCGGAUAUUUAAGUGAGAUGUGAAAUUCCCGGGCUUAACUUGGGAGCUGCAUUUCAAACUGGAUAUCUAGAGUGCGGGAGAGGAGAAUGGAAUUCCUAGUGUAGCGGUGAAAUGCGUAGAGAUUAGGAAGAACACCAGUGGCGAAGGCGAUUCUCUGGACCGUAACUGACGCUGAGGCAUGAAAGCGUGGGUAGCAAACAGGAUUAGAUACCCUGGUAGUCCACGCCGUAAACGAUGAGUACUAGGUGUAGGAGGGUCCAACCUUCUGUGCCGCAGUUAACACAAUAAGUACUCCGCCUGGGAAGUACGAUCGCAAGAUUAAAACUCAAAGGAAUUGACGG
rnacentral:rRNA from 1 species